rnacentral:rRNA from 1 species
GACGAACGCUGGCGGCGUGCUUAACACAUGCAAGUCGAACGGAAAGGCCCUGCUUUUGUGGGGUGCUCGAGUGGCGAACGGGUGAGUAACACGUGAGUAACCUGCCCUUGACUUUGGGAUAACUUCAGGAAACUGGGUCUAAUACCGGAUAGGAGCUCCUGCUGCAUGGUGGGGGUUGGAAAGUUUCGGCGGUUGGGGAUGGACUCGCGGCUUAUCAGCUUGUUGGUGGGGUAGUGGCUUACCAAGGCUUUGACGGGUAGCCGGCCUGAGAGGGUGACCGGCCACAUUGGGACUGAGAUACGGCCCAGACUCCUACGGGAGGCAGCAGUGGGGAAUAUUGCACAAUGGGCGGAAGCCUGAUGAAGCAACGCCGCGUGCGGGAUGACGGCCUUCGGGUUGUAAACCGCUUUCGCCUGUGACGAAGCGUGAGUGACGGUAAUGGGUAAAGAAGCACCGGCUAACUACGUG